rnacentral:rRNA from 1 species
AUUGAACGCUGGCGGCAGGCUUAACACAUGCAAGUCGAGCGGGGUGAUGGUGCUUGCACUAUCACUUAGCGGCGGACGGGUGAGUAAUGCUUAGGAAUCUGCCUAUUAGUGGGGGACAACAUCUCGAAAGGGAUGCUAAUACCGCAUACGUCCUACGGGAGAAAGCAGGGGAUCACUUGUGACCUUGCGCUAAUAGAUGAGCCUAAGUCGGAUUAGCUAGUUGGUGGGGUAAAGGCCUACCAAGGCGACGAUCUGUAGCGGGUCUGAGAGGAUGAUCCGCCACGCUGGGACUGGGACACGGCCCAGACUCCUACGGGAGGCAGCAGUGGGGAAUAUUGGACAAUGGGGGGAAGCCUGAUCCAGCCAUGCCGCGUGUGUGAAGAAGGCCUUAUGGUUGUAAAGCACUUUAAGCGAGGAGGAGGCUCUUUUGGUUAAUACCCAAGAUGAGUGGACGUUACUCGCAGAAUAAGCACCGGCUAACUCUGUGCCAGCCGCCGCCGUAA